rnacentral:rRNA from 1 species
AUUGAACGCUGGCGGCAUGCCUUACACAUGCAAGUCGAACGGUAACAGGUCUUCGGAUGCUGACGAGUGGCGAACGGGUGAGUAAUACAUCGGAACGUGCCCGAUCGUGGGGGAUAACGAAGCGAAAGCUUUGCUAAUACCGCAUAAGAUCUAAGGAUGAAAGCAGGGGACCGCAAGGCCUUGCGCGAACGGAGCGGCCGAUGGCAGAUUAGGUAGUUGGUGGGAUAAAAGCUUACCAAGCCGACGAUCUGUAGCUGGUCUGAGAGGACGACCAGCCACACUGGGACUGAGACACGGCCCAGACUCCUACGGGAGGAAGCAGUGGGGAAUUUUGGACAAUGGGCGAAAGCCUGAUCCAGCCAUGCCGCGUGCAGGAUGAAGGCCUUCGGGUUGUAAACUGCUUUUGUACGGAACGAAAAGACUCUGGUUAAUACCUGGGGUCCAUGACGGUACCGUAAGAAUAAGCACCGGCUAACUACGUGCCAGCAGCCGCCGUAA